ARCGAACGCUGGCGGCAGNCCUAACACAUGCAAGUCGAGCGAGGACUUCGGUCCUAGCGGCGGACGGGUGAGUAACGCGUGGGAACGUGCCCCUUGCUGCGGAAUAGCCCCGGGAAACUGGGAUUAAUACCGCAUGAUCCCCCUGAUCAUGGAGAUCUGGGGGCAAAGAUUUAUCGGCAAGGGAUCGGCCCGCGUUGGAUUAGGUAGUUGGUGGGGUAAUGGCCUACCAAGCCGACGAUCCAUAGCUGGUUUGAGAGGAUGAUCAGCCACACUGGGACUGAGACACGGCCCAGACUCCUACGGGAGGCAGCAGUGGGGAAUCUUAGACAAUGGGGGCAACCCNNNUCAAGGGCAUGCCGCGUGAGUGAUGAAGGCCCUAGGGUNNNNNUAAAGGGGUCAGCUGGGAAGAUAAUGACUGUACCAGCAGAAGA
rnacentral:rRNA from 1 species